rnacentral:misc_RNA from 1 species
AAAAUGGGCAACUGUAACAGCUUAUCUUCCGACCAAGCCACCACCACUUCCGGCGGCGGCGGAGGCGGCGGCGCUCCUUCAACGCCGUCAACCACCGGUAUCAGAAUCAUCCCUUCCUCACAACCACCGCCUCCACGACCACUCUCCGGCAUCGGCCGUGUUCUCGGCCGGCCAAUGGAGGAUGUCCGGUCCAUCUACAUUUUCGGCGGCGAACUCGGCCGGGGUCAAUUCGGAGUCACCUACUUAGUUACUAACAAAAAAACGCGCCAGCAGUUCGCGUGCAAGUCAAUCGCUACACGGAAACUCAUCAACAAGGACGAUGUCGACGACGUCCGCCGUGAAGUUCAGAUCAUGCAUCACCUUACCGGUCACCGGAAUAUCGUUGAGCUUAAAGGAACUUUCGAGGAUAAACACCAUGUUCAUCUCGUCAUGGAACUUUGUGCCGGCGGCGAGCUUUUUGACCGGAUAAUUGCUAAAGGACACUAUUCCGAGCGAGCUGCUGCUGGAGUUUGCCGGCAGAUGGUAACUGUUGUUCACAAUUGUCAUUCUAUGGGAGUUAUGCAUAGGGAUUUAAAACCUGAAAAUUUCCUUUUUUUGAGCUCCGAUGAAACUUCACCAUUAAAGGCUACUGAUUUUGGACUAUCAGUCUUUUUCAAACCAGGUGAUGUGUUCAAAGACCUGGUUGGUAGUGCAUAUUAUGUUGCUCCUGAAGUUCUGCGCCGAGAAUAUGGACCUGAAGCUGAUAUUUGGAGUGCUGGAGUUAUUCUGUACAUUCUACUCAGUGGUGUUCCACCAUUUUAUGGAGAGAAUGAUCAGAGUAUCUUUGAUGCCGUUCUUCGAGGUCAUCUUGAUUUUUCAUCUGAU